rnacentral:lncRNA from 1 species
CACGCAGCUAAAUUGAGGGGCUUGCUUGUUUGUUCUUCACGAUCCCUGUAAAGAGAAACAUUUUAGGUUGGAGGGAGCUGGAAGGGAAGGCUGGAGGCAGCCUGGGAGGCUCUCCUUCGAGGCAGAUCUCCUCCCUGCUGGCUGACCUGGGUCAGGAUUUUCCCCUGGGCAGCCCUGUCUGGCCGUUCCCAUCAGGGAGGAUGGCCAGCACCGGCUGGAGGGCUGUGCUGGAGGGGGCACUCGGGACAAGGGGCUUGCUGUGCAGCUUCGUGCGCCACAGUGAAGCUGGAGCGGGUGCCACACAGCUGAAUCAGGGGCUGUGCCUGUGGCUUUAACUUCAUUUUCUGCUGCAGGCCUCCUGGUAUGUAAGAAAGCAAAUUCAAGCAUGCCGCUAUGUUCACCGAGGCAGCAAACUUGGGGGGGGGAGGGAGGUGGAGAAAAUUCCCCUCCUUCUGCAGUUCAUGGUGUUCUUCUAAACUAUUUAUAAAUAGGUCUACUGUAGCCAGUGUUUGCAUUUGGACUGCUUCACUGUUCUCGUUUUCAAGGCUUCUCUUAGAUCUGACAGUAAAGGUCAGGUUGACUCCCCUCAUCUGAAAUGAAGAGGGGAAGAAAAUUAACCCUGUAGUCAGGUGGCUCAAAGGCAGUAAUUCCCAUCAACGUGAGCAAGUUCUCCGUUGUGCGUGGCUGGGGCAGAGCGCCGGACCCACUCUCCCUUUUGCUCCAUUUUCGUUUCCCUGCCCUCUUCAUUAGCUGCUGACAGUUUUAGCUUCCUACGUCCAUUUAAAGAGAUUCCCCCCGCACAUCAUCUGGGAUUCAUGAACUGCAGAGAUCUGGCUAUUUUCAACUUUAAGCCACAGUUAAUCCAUGACCUUAGUGCUUUUGUCUCCAGGUCUGAAUUAUGAUUCCUGCCAAGUGGACACAAAGACAACUGAAGCAGGAAUGUACCCCGUACUCUGCAGUGCCCACUGCAAUGGCAGGACUCAGAUACCUCUUUUCUUGGAGCAGCUCAGCAGAAGAACACAAAGAUGUCACUUCUGGCAUGGAUCACCCAGCGGCGCAUCCCUGGAAGAUGGACUGGUGCUCAGGUGCUGAGGUUUCAGGUCAGACAGAACCCAUGGGGAUGCUUCUUAAUGCACCAGCCUGGCUCCAUCCAGCUUGCCAGCACCAAAAGGAGGCAUCCGACCCCCACAAGGCACAGGCAACUCCACUGCUUGUCCUGCUCCUGCUGACUUCUUCGCUGACCGGCAGCAGCCUGGUGUUGCUCAAUGCUCCCUGUACGUGUCUGUGCCCACCUGAGUGCAGGAUACGGCCUCCCCCUGCCCGUCACAACCGGGGCCAUCACCCAUGCUCAAUCACACCACAUCCCUCCGCAUGUGAAGCCUGCAAGUUUUGGGGCAUGUGUAGAAAUGGUGAGAAGGUGGUGGAACACCAUCAGGGGUUCGGUCACACGUGGUGUGCUCCCAGCAGACCAGCACAACAGCUCAGGGAGCAGAUACUGCAACGUGUUAAGUCAUUUAUUUGAUGAUGAGGCAGAGAAAGCCAAGAGGACUAGCCUAGAGGAAAGCCUCAUUGCUAUGUGGUGAUGUUUCAAAAUUCCCCUUUUUGUUCUUCCAGCAGCCCAAGUACCUCGUUGGCUUUUCAGACGUGAUCAGAACACUGCUCAGCAUGGGAAGGGUGGGGAUGCCACACUUUCAUGAUGAGCCAGGAGAGGCCACGCUAGCCAGGGUUUGCACGGUAGCCCCAGCAGGCUUUGCAGAUGGAAGCUGUUUUAGGAUAAUUUGGUGUCUUUCUAUUCUGCAGAUUUCUUAACGUGUGUGUGUGAGCAGUUGGCUGCUGGGACAGGAAGAUGUGACUGUGCAGGCCCUUUGCAGCACUGAAAGCAAACCUGGUGCAGGUUUGUUCACGAGCUGGUGAGUGUUGAAGAUCCACCCAUGCUUGGUUAUCCUGAAGAGCUGCUCCUGGCUGCAGGUGACACCUACCAGGAGAGGCACUUCCCCAUUCCUCCAUACCCGUGGCAGACACCUCUGCUCCCUAGAGGCUGUGACCAUCAUGCAGCCACAGCUGUCCCCUCAUCAAUCCUAAAGGUGGAUGCAGUGAGACCCAGCACCAUCAGAGCUGACCGCACACGAGGCAACUCAUGUCUGGAAGCAGUCAGGCUCUGCUGAGCACCAGAAGGCACAUGGGUGAGUUACCUUAUAAGCAGCCUAGACUUAAAUUAAACAUGGUUUAUAAGUAGAGGCAUAACGGAGGCAUAUUGGGAGGUUAUGUGCCAUUAUAGGGUGCUUGGGAUGUGCUCAUGUGGGUCUCCACCAAUGUGGAGAUCCUGUACUGUGCUCAGUUGUGGGGCUGCCAAGGAGCCCUCCUCGUCCAGCAGCUACAGACGAUGGCUUUGUGGGUGAUGAUCUGCUUACAUGGGCUUCUGCAUUCAUUGUAUAGAAUAAAUAAUUUACCACUAAUGUUUGGGAUUUGUAG